UACGUAGGGUGCGAGCGUUAAUCGGAAUUACUGGGCGUAAAGCGUGCGCAGGCGGUUUUGCAAGCCGGGUGUGAAAUCCCCGGGCUCAACCUGGGAAUGGCAUUCGGGACUGCAAGGCUGGAGUGCGGCAGAGGAGACUGGAAUUCCUGGUGUAGCAGUGAAAUGCGUAGAUAUCGGGAGGAACACCAGUGGCGAAGGCGACUUCCUGGCCUGUUCUUGACGCUGAGGCGCGAAAGCUAGGGUAGCGAACGGG
rnacentral:rRNA from 1 species